rnacentral:lncRNA from 1 species
GGCAAAGAGGAAAGGAUGGGGAAGGGGUAACGACGACGAAGGGUUGGAUGGAGCUUGAGGAUGAGAAUGGCCACUAGGAAAAGACAAAGAUGAAACAAGAAAAUUGAACCCUAUACUUGAAUCAAAGACACUAUCGUGUAAUAGGCCUGUGUUGGGCCACACGGCCGUAUUUUAAGGCUAUGUAAAACUUUACAGCCCGUGUUAACAUGAUAAAUGGAAAAAAUAUUCCUAAUUUCUACAUGGCUAUGUGCGAUGGUCCUUCGCUUCUCCCACUUCUAUGUGCG